GACGAACGCUGGCGGCGUGCCUAAUACAUGCAAGUCGAACGCACAGUUUAUACCGUAGCUUGCUACACCAUAGACUGUGAGUUGCGAACGGGUGAGUAACGCGUAGGUAACCUGCCUGGUAGCGGGGGAUAACUAUUGGAAACGAUAGCUAAUACCGCAUAAUAUUAAUUAUUGCAUGAUAAUUAAUUGAAAGGUGCAAUUGCACCACUACCAGAUGGACCUGCGUUGUAUUAGCUAGUAGGUGAGGUAACGGCUCACCUAGGCGACGAUACAUAGCCGACCUGAGAGGGUGAUCGGCCACACUGGGACUGAGACACGGCCCAGACUCCUACGGGAGGCAGCAGUAGGGAAUCUUCGGCAAUGGACGAAAGUCUGACCGAGCAACGCCGCGUGAGUGAAGAAGGGUGUCGGAUCGUAAAGCUCUGUUGUAAGAGAAGAACGGGUGUGAGAGUGGAAAGUUCACACUGUGACGGUAUCUUACCAGAAAGGGACGGCUAACCACGUG
rnacentral:rRNA from 1 species